rnacentral:rRNA from 1 species
UAGGAUAGGUGGGAGGCUUGGAAGUGUGGACGCCAGUCUGCAUGGAGCCGACCUUGAAAUACCACCCUUUAAUGUUUGAUGUUCUAACGUUGACCCGUAAUCCGGGUUGCGGACAGUGUCUGGUGGGUAGUUUGACUGGGGCGGUCUCCUCCUAAAGAGUAACGGAGGAGCACGAAGGUUGGCUAAUCCUGGUCGGACAUCAGGAGGUUAGUGCAAUGGCAUAAGCCAGCUUGACUGCGAGCGUGACGGCGCGAGCAGGUGCGAAAGCAGGUCAUAGUGAUCCGGUGGUUCUGAAUGGAAGGGCCAUCGCUCAACGGAUAAAAGGUACUCCGGGGAUAACAGGCUGAUACCGCCCAAGAGUUCAUAUCGACGGCGGUGUUUGGCACCUCGAUGUCGGCUCAUCACAUCCUGGGGCUGAAGUAGGUCCCAAGGGUAUGGCUGUUCGCCAUUUAAAGUGGUACGCGAGCUGGGUUUAGAACGUCGUGAGACAGUUCGGUCCCUAUCUGCCGUGGGCGCUGGAGAACUGAGGGGGGCUGCUCCUAGUACGAGAGGACCGGAGUGGACGCAUCACUGGUGUUCGGGUUGUCAUGCCAAUGGCACUGCCCGGUAGCUAAAUGCGGAAGAGAUAAGUGCUGAAAGCAUCUAAGCACGAAACUUGCCCCGAGAUGAGUUCUCCCUGACUCCUUGAGAGUCCUGAAGGAACGUUGAAGACGACGACGUUGAUAGGCCGGGUGUGUAAGCGCAGCGAUGCGUUGAGCUAACCGGUACUAAUGAACCGUGAG